rnacentral:lncRNA from 1 species
AGUAUGAGGUCUUUACAUAGUCCCAUGGCCAUCCUUCCUGUCCUUGUCAUCUCACAGGCAUAGGUAUGAAAGAGAGGAGCCCUGGUCACGGUCAUCUAAUGAGCACUAUGCAUGGAUUGUAACUGUAUCCACUGUUUUUUUUUUUAUUUUACAAGCCCCACUUCUCAGUUCUUAUUCCCAUUCUGCUGCUGCUUCUGUUCUUCUUUGGGGAUGAACACUAAGCAGCUGAGGUUGGCCUGGACCUCAAGAUGUAUCCCACCCUGGCCUCAAACUCAAGAGCCUCCUGGCCCAAGUAUUACAGGUAUGCACCUGCCUGAAUGCAAUCCAGUUUCCCUUCUUCUCUCCUAGGAUUCUUGACCCUCAGCUGAAAGUGAGGAUGUCAACAUACACCCAGAUAUACCAAGUAGAUGUCAUGAUACACCAGGCCUCAGUUUACCCAUGCUAACUCAUGGACCUGCUCUUGUCAGCUUGGCCCAGAUGAGUCACGAGACUUUUCUUGAGAAUGUGUUCACUCCCUCCACAGACCUGAUUUAAAGUUCCUUGUUAUUGGCGUCAAGAAGAGGUGUCUGAAUGAUCUGAGUAUAUUUCCUUGAAUUUAUCUUAUUAGGAGAUGGAUGAUCUCAAAAAGAAAAAAAAAA